rnacentral:rRNA from 1 species
UACGGGGGGGCAAGCGUUGUUCGGAAUUACUGGGCGUAAAGGGCGCGUAGGCGGUUCGCUAAGUUGAAUGUGAAAACUCUGGGCUUAACCCAGAGCCUGCAUCCAAAACUGGCGAACUGGAGUACUGGAGGGGAAAGCGGAAUUCCUGGUGUAGCGGUGAAAUGCGUAGAUAUCAGGAGGAACACCGGUGGCGAAGGCGCUUUCUGGACAGUAACUGACGCUGAGGCGACGAAAGCCGGGGGAGCAAACAGG